rnacentral:rRNA from 1 species
GAGUUUGAUCAUGGCUCAGGAUGAACGCUAGCGGCAGGCCUAACACAUGCAAGUCGAGGGGUAACGAUGUCUUCGGACAGGCGACGACCGGCGCACGGGUGAGUAUCGCGUUUGUAACCUACCUCUAACUGGAGCAUAGCCCGAAGAAAUUCGGAUUAAUACUCCAUAAUACUAUGAUCUGGCAUCUUUUUAUAGUUAAAGCUCCGGCGGUUAGAGAUGGGCAUGCGUGACAUUAGUUUGUUGGUGAGGUAAUAGCUCACCAAGACUACGAUGUCUAGGGGUUCUGAGAGGAUGGUCCCCCACACUGGUACUGAGACACGGACCAGACUCCUACGGGAGGCAGCAAUGAGGAAUAUUGGUCAAUGGGCGCAAGCCUGAACCAGCCAUGCCGCGUGAAGGAUGACAGCGCUAUGCGUUGUAAACUUCUUUUGUACAGGAAGAAACAUUUCGACGUGUCGAAACUUGACGGUACUGUACGAAUAAGCAUCGGCUAACUCCGUGCCAGCAGCCGCGGUAAUACGGAGGAUGCAAGCGUUAUCCGGAUUUAUUGGGUUUAAAGGGUACGUAGGCGGAAAAUUAAGUCAGUAGUGAAAUCCUGCAGCUUAACUGUAGAACUGUUAUUGAUACUGGUUUUCUUGAAUGUAGUUGAGGUAGGCGGAAUGUGUAAUGUAGCGGUGAAAUGCUUAGAUAUUACACAGAACACCGAUUGCGAAGGCAGCUUACUAAGCUACGAUUGACGCUGAGGUACGAAAGCGUGGGGAGCGAACAGGAUUAGAUACCCUGGUAGUCCACGCUGUAAACGAUGAUCACUCGUUGUUGGCAAUACAUCGUCAGCGACUGAGCGAAAGCAUUAAGUGACCCACCUGGAGUCAUCACA